GUGACCUCAAAUCAGGUAGGACUAC
rnacentral:rRNA from 1 species